rnacentral:misc_RNA from 1 species
CAGUAAAAUUCAAUUUAUAGCAUAGCCAAAAAAUGAGAAGAACACUCAGAAGUAACCAUAUUUGUUGAUUUAAAUUUAUCAAUUUGAAUAUCAAUAAACAAUAAUAUCCUUGCUAAUUUCACAAAUUGAAGUCAUCGAAGCAUAAAGGACCAAAUCUAGGAGCACCAAAUCAUCAAUUAACACUGUUUCGAUUAUGGACUCUCUCUUCAUUUCAACAAAACUAAAAUCUCUAUACCCAGCAGUUUCUAAACUAUAAUUUUAUAGUCACUUGAGCUAAUUCCUCAGGUCCUACACAGCAAAAUAAACAGAAAUCCGAAAUCCAGUUUUCUUCUUUCUUUCUUCCAUUUUUUUUUCUAAGAAACACCCAACUGAAUUCUCAAAAGGGUUAUUUAUUUAUUUAUUUUACCUCAUGUCGCUGCAUUGCAGAUGG